rnacentral:rRNA from 1 species
UACGUAGGAGGCAAGCGUUGUCCGGAAUCACUGGGCGUAAAGCGCGUGUAGGUGGUGCGACAAGUCUGCUGUGAAAGCGCCUGGCUUAACCGGGCGAGGUCGGCGGAAACUGACGUACUGGAGGCCGGUAGAGGGGGGUGGAAUUCCCGGUGUAGUGGUGAAAUGCGUAGAGAUCGGGAGGAACACCAGUGGCGAAGGCGGCCCCCUGGGCCGGGCCUGACGCUGAGGCGCGAGAGCGUGGGGAGCAAACAGG